UGGGGAAUAUUGGACAAUGGGGGCAACCCUGAUCCAGCAAUGCCGCGUGUGUGAAGAAGGUCUUCGGAUUGUAAAGCACUUUCGACGGGGACGAUGAUGACGGUACCCGUAGAAGAAGCCCCGGCUAACUUCGUGCCAGCAGCCGCGGUAAUACGAAGGGGGCUAGCGUUGCUCGGAAUGACUGGGCGUAAAGGGCGUGUAGGCGGUUUACACAGUCAGAUGUGAAAUCCCCGGGCUUAACCUGGGAGCUGCAUUUGAUACGUGUAGACUAGAGUGUGAGAGAGGGUUGUGGAAUUCCCAGUGUAGAGGUGAAAUUCGUAGAUAUUGGGAAGAACACCGGUGGCGAAGGCGGCAACCUGGCUCAUGACUGACGCUGAGGCGCGAAAGCGUGGGGAGCAAACAGGAUUAGAUACCCUGGUAGUCCACNCUGUAAAA
rnacentral:rRNA from 1 species